GGAAGAGUGACCGAGUGGUCAAAAGCGGCAGACCGUAAAUCUGUUGAACUUUUUCUACGUAGAUUUGAAUCCUACCUUUCCU